AAAUCGGGCCAUCACACAGGUGCUGCAUGGCUGUCGUCAGCUCGUGCCGUGAGGUGUUGGGUUCAGUCCCGCAACGAGCGCAACCCUCGCCCUUUGUUGCCAUCGGGUAAAGCCGGGCACUCUAAGGGGACUGCCAGCGACAAGUUGGAGGAAGGAGAGGAUGACGUCAAGUCAUCAUGGCCUUUAUGCCUAGGGCCACACACGUGCAACAAUGGCCGGUACAGACGGAGGCAAUGCCGAGAGGCGGAGCAAACCCGAGAAAACCGGUCCCAGUUCGGAUUGAGGUCUGCAACUCGACCUCAUGAAGUCGGAAUCGCUAGUAAUCGCAUAUCAGAACGAUGCGGUGAAUACGUUCCCGGGCCUUGUACACACCGCCCGUCACACCACGAAAGUUUGUUGUACCCGAAGUCGGUGCCUUAACCUCGCAAGAGGAGAGAGCCGCCCAAGGUAUGGCCGAUGAUUGGGGUGAAGUCGUAAC
rnacentral:rRNA from 1 species